CAGAAAACCUUGUGAACUUGAAUAACAUUUGCUUUCUUAGUUGCUGAGAAAAAACUAAAAGGCUUUGAGUGGAAAUUUGGGAAGUCCAAUAAUGACAACAUUUCCAAUGAGAUUUCUUCUUUGCUGAUUGAUUUUCCAGACUGUGGACCCUGCUUUUCCAAUUCAUCAAGGACCCCUGAUUAUGGUGCUAUCUUUAGAUCCUCAUGGUAUGUAUGCCUGGGUGGUUUGUCAUAGACUUCCCUUGCCAUCCCUGAUCCCCAGGUAAAACACAAAUAAUGACUAGGUAUAGGAUUCUGUUUCUGUCCUACUUAUGAGCACCAUCUCCUCUAAUGAGACAUAUAAAAAGAGG
rnacentral:lncRNA from 1 species